rnacentral:lncRNA from 1 species
AUAUAUAUAUAUAUAUAUAUCUAUCUAUCUAUCUAUCUAUCUAUAUAUAUAUAUAUAUAUCUAUCUAUAUAUAUAUAUAGAUAGAUAUAUAUAUAGAUAGAUAUAUAUAUAUAUCUAUCUAUCUAAGUUCGAGAUAUACAUACAGGUAUAGAUACACACGUAGUGGCUCCUGUGGCAUGGCAUAUCGCAGUACGUACUAUCUCCGCCUAGGGAUACAAUUUCAGCUCUACUCGAAGUCAAAAUAUCUUUUAGUUUGAUUGAAUUUAUAUAAAAAAAUACUGGUAGGACUAGUUUGAGAGCCACAAAACCAGAUGGGAUAAUAGACCCUCUUAUUCAAAAAUUAAAUAAUUUUAGCCCCUCCGAUAUACCCUUCGGUUUUGUGGCUUCUAAACUAGACCUUCGUUCUAACCGGCGUACGGAUGUACUGUAAAAUUUAAAUAUAUAUUUGAUUACCAAUCUAGUAGUAUUAUUACUCUACCCUUUUCAAAACAAGUGCACACUUUGGUCCACAAAAAUUCAAACACUUUUAAGUCUGAUAAGUAUCUUUUUACAAAGUACUCAUACAUGUCAGUAGAGGUACAAUUUUCGAUGGCCAAAGCCACCAUAAAUAAACCCUGAAUAGUUGGACAUUACUUAUUUUUCAAUAUCUUAGGGUUUAUUUCCAACGACAACGUCGGCCUGCUCGACAAACCCGAUCUCCCUCUCAUUGCGAUGAUGCAACUAGUUCCCUGCUGACAGACAAGUUUUGCGAACCAACGAUCCCUAACUCUCAGCUUGAGACUGUCACCUGACCUCGCCCCCUUCGGACACCCCGGCCCCUCAAGAGAGAUCAACAUUCCACAAGAUAUGCACGCCUCGAUUCGGUCGGCACACAAGGACUUUUUUAUGAAAUCGGUCGCUAGUUUUUUUACGACCUUGUUUGAUUAUGUCACGCGGUCUUAUUGGCUCCCAUGAAUUCUCGUACUCACAUAGAUAGUAGAAUUUAUUACCAUAAUAAAUUUAUUUGUAGAUACAAGUAUUGCUAAUAUUUUUUUAUAUGGCUAAUUAAGUCAAAAAGAAAUAAUUGACAUGAGUAUCGUAGCGGUACUUAUUUCGGGACUGAGGCACAUGCAAAAAUAAACGCUUAAAAGAAGUGUUGUAAUUAAUAUAAUACUCACUCAUCAUGCAAUAUAUAAUUCAUCUCUGUGUCUUUUAAUUAUCGUGGAGCGAAUAAAAAGAGAUUUAAAAAGGGAGGAAACGCGCCCAAAGUAAAGAAAAACAAAGUAGCUUUUAUUAGUCUGUAGCUUGUACGUGUCAAUUAAUGAGAAAGAGAAUAUAUGUCAUGCAGCAAGAACUGACUGCACACGACAAAUGCGCAGGCAUGCAGCGUGCUUUGGGUUGAUCGAUCAUCGACCACGCAACGCAUGCAUGGAAAGAUGGACCCCUUUCAGUUGUUUUGCGUGCAGGCUUCAUGCACGCUUGCUUGCUUAAAACAAACAAGUAGUAGUACUAUACUAGCAGCAGUAUCAUACCAUACCGGUGCACAUUUAUUGUGUGCCACCAAUCAAUCAACAGCUAGCUAGUAUGAUCGAGAGGUAGAAGCAGAAUACGAACUGCAACUGCAACUGCAAGCAACAAUCAAUAAGCGGUCUCGCUCACCUGUCCCUCGUUGAACAUGGGGAUCUGGACGAGGACCAUGGGGCAGCAGCGGCCGGCGUCGGCCUCCAGGUCGUCGUCGUCGUCCAGCACGCGCUGCCCGUCACCGGCGACGCGGUGGCGCCGGCGCCGGCGCAGCCAGAGCCCCGUGACCACGGCCGCCAUGUACAGGCGCUCGAGGAAGAGCAUCAGCGACAUGGCGGCACAGAUGUACACGGCCAGCUGCAGCGCCGGAACCACCACGGACCACCUCACCGCCUGCCAGGCCGCGCGCACGAACGACGGCGGCGUCGCCGCACCCAGCCCGCCGUCGAGCCUCCCCAUGGCCUGCCCUUAGCUACACAGGCAGCUGCUCCUCCUGCUUGCGCUCGCCGAUUAAUAACCAACAAGAACGGUCGUCGUCGUCGGCGGCGCGUGUAGGCCCGCAGCGGCAACAGGCAUGGAUCCGGCCGGCCUGGUCCGGUCGCAGGGGUCGUAUAGUACGGUGCAAGUACGUACGUGUACUAUGGACUGACGAAGAGGGUCGAUCUGUGUGUGUGUGUGUGUGUGUAUUUAUACACAAAUCCAUCCUGGAUUCUUCUACGACGAUAUACGAUCAAUUAAUUUCGACAUGUACAUCAGUACAGUGCAGUACAGUGUAGUAUGCUGGUAUAUACAUCAUCUGCCUUCUCCGGCCAGCCGGGCCAGCUAGCGAUCGACUAGCGCUAGUAGUGUGCUGGGACUGGGAGUGGGACGACGCUGGCCGCUUCGAUCCAUGCAUCGAUCUGUGCUGUCACCGCUCAGUAGUACGUGCAGUGCUUUGCUUUGCGAUGAUGGUGCUUUUUUUGGCUGGCGUACGCGUCAUGAACGUGUGGAUGUUUAUGUGUGUAUUGCGUACUCCAGCCUUGGAUGGAAACACUGGAUGUGCGGUACAGCUAGUCCGGUGCGUAUAUGGCAGAUGGUGUACACGUGCACGCGUCCACGCACGACGCAGCCAUGCAUGCGUGUCAUCGAUGAGUUGUCUGUGGCCGCAGCCCACGGCACAUUGACAUUUCGAGGAGCCCAUUGUGGCUCGCACAGCUAGCUAACACAAGCACAAGGAGUUAAUGCAGCUGCAGUACCCUACGCGACUUGAUAAAUAAUAAAUAUAAAUGUAAAUACAGAGAUAUCCUUCCCCAUCCUUGCGAUAUCCGUGUAUAUAUAUAUAUAGGUAGAUAGAUAGAUAGAUAGAUAGAUAUAUCUAUCUAUCUAUCUAUCUAUCUAUAUAUAUAGAUAUAUAUAUAUAUCUUUCUAUCUAUCUAUCUAUCUAUCUAUAUAUAUAUCUAUCUAUAUAUAUAGAUAGAUAUAUAUAUAGAUAUAUAUAUAUCUAUCUAUCUAAGUUCGAGAUAUACAUACAGGUAUAGAUACACACGUAGUGGCUCCUGUGGCAUGGCAUAUCGCAGUACGUACUAUCUCCGCCUAGGGAUACAAUUUCAGCUCUACUCGAAGUCAAAAUAUCUUUUAGUUUGAUUGAAUUUAUAUAAAAAAAUACUGGUAGGACUAGUUUGAGAGCCACAAAACCAGAUGGCAUAAUAGACCCUCUUAUUCAAAAAUUAAAUAAUUUUAGCCCCUCCGAUAUACCCUUCGGUUUUGUGGCUUCUAAACUAGACCUUCGUUCUAACCGGCGUACGGAUGUACUGUAAAAUUUAAAUAUAUAUUUGAUUACCAAUCUAGUAGUAUUAUUACUCUACCCUUUUCAAAACAAGUGCACACUUUGGUCCACAAAAAUUCAAACAAUUUUAAGUCUGAUAAGUAUCUUUUUACAAAGUACUCAUACAUGUCAGUAGAGGUACAAUUUUCGAUGGCCAAAGCCACCAUAAAUAAACCCUGAAUAGUUGGA